rnacentral:rRNA from 1 species
UACAGAGGGUGCGAGCGUUAAUCGGAAUUACUGGGCGUAAGCGCACGUAGUCGGCUUUGCAAGUCGGGUGUGAAAUCCCCCGGGCUCAACCUGGGAACUGGCAUCCGAGACUGCAUUGCUAGAGUAUGGGAGAGGGAAGCGGAAUUUCUGGUGUAGCAGUGAAAUGCGUAGAUAUCAGAAGGAACAUCAGUGGGCGAAGGCGG